ACAUGCAAGUCGAGCGCCCCGCAAGGGGAGCGGCAGACGGGUGAGUAACGCGUGGGAACGUACCAUUUGCUACGGAAUAACUCAGGGAAACUUGUGCUAAUACCGUAUGUGCCCGAAAGGGGAAAGAUUUAUCGGCAAAUGAUCGGCCCGCGUUGGAUUAGCUAGUUGGUGGGGUAAAGGCUCACCAAGGCGACGAUCCAUAGCUGGUCUGAGAGGAUGAUCAGCCACACUGGGACUGAGACACGGCCCAGACUCCUACGGGAGGCAGCAGUGGGGAAUAUUGGACAAUGGGCGCAAGCCUGAUCCAGCCAUGCCGCGUGAGUGAUGAAGGCCCUAGGGUUGUAAAGCUCUUUCACCGGUGAAGAUAAUGACGGUAACCGGAGAAGAAGCCCCGGCUAACUUCGUGCCAGCAGCCGCGGUAAUACGAAGGGGGCUAGCGUUGUUCGGAUUUACUGGGCGUAAAGCGCACGUAGGCGGGCUAAUAAGUCAGGGGUGAAAUCCCGGGGCUCAACCCCGGAACUGCCUUUGAUACUGUUAGUCUUGAGUAUGGUAGAGGUGAGUGGAAUUCCGAGUGUAGAGGUGAAAUUC
rnacentral:rRNA from 2 species